ACUCAAAGGAAUAGACGGGGCCCCGCACAAGCAGCGGAGCGUGUGGUUUAAUUCGAUGUUACACGAAGAACCUUACCAGGGUUUGACAUGCAAGUGGUAGGAAACCGAAAGGCGACCGACCCUUCGGGGAGCUUGCACAGGUGCUGCAUGGCUGUCGUCAGCUCGUGUCGUGAGAUGUUCGGUUAAGUCCGCUAACGAGCGCAACCCUCGCUGUGUGUUAUAUGUGUCACACGGGACUGCCGGUCUUAAGCCGGAGGAAGGUGAGGAUGAUGUCAAGUCAGCAUGGCCUUUAUAUCCUGGGCUACACACACGCUACAAUGGCCAACACAAUAGGUUGCUAAGCCGCGAGGUGGAGCCAAUCCAUAAAGUUGGUCUCAGUUCAGAUUGUAGGCUGCAACCCGCCUGCAUGAAGAUGGAGUUGCUAGUAACCGCAGGUCAGCUAUACUGCGGUGAAUACGUUCCCGGGGCUUGUACACACCGCCCGU
rnacentral:rRNA from 1 species